CCUACGGGGGGCAGCAGGCGCGAAACCUCUGCAAUAGGCGAAAGCUUGACAGGGUUACUCUGAGUGAUUUCCGUUAAGGAGAUCUUUUGGCACCUCUAAAAAUGGUGCAGAAUAAGGGGUGGGCAAGUCUGGUGUCAGCCGCCGCGGUAAUACCAGCACCCCGAGUGGUCGGGACGUUUAUUGGGCCUAAAGCAUCCGUAGCCGGUUCUACAAGUCUUCCGUUAAAUCCACCUGCUUAACAGAUGGGCUGCGGAAGAUACUAUAGAGCUAGGAGGCGGGAGAGGCAAGCGGUACUCGAUGGGUAGGGGUAAAAUCCGUUGAUCCAUUGAAGACCACCAGUGGCGAAGGCGGCUUGCCAGAACGCGCUCGACGGUGAGGGAUGAAAGCUGGGGGAGCAAACCGGAUUAGAUACCCUCGUAGUCC
rnacentral:rRNA from 1 species